rnacentral:rRNA from 1 species
CUUGCUAUCAGGCGUCGAGCGGCGGACGGGUGAGUAAUACUUAGGAAUCUACCUAGUAGUGGGGGAUAGCACGGGGAAACUCGUAUUAAUACCGCAUACGACCUACGGGAGAAAGGGGGCAGUUUACUGCUCUCGCUAUUAGAUGAGCCUAAGUCGGAUUAGCUAGAUGGUGGGGUAAAGGCCUACCAUGGCGACGAUCUGUAGCUGGUCUGAGAGGAUGAUCAGCCACACCGGGACUGAGACACGGCCCGGACUCCUACGGGAGGCAGCAGUGGGGAAUAUUGGACAAUGGGGGAAACCCUGAUCCAGCCAUGCCGCGUGUGUGAAGAAGGCCUUUUGGUUGUAAAGCACUUUAAGCAGUGAAGAAGACUCCGUGGUUAAUACCCACGGACGAUGACAUUAGCUGCAGAAUAAGCACCGGCUAACUCUGUGCCAGCAGCCGCGGUAAUACAGAGGGUGCAAGCGUUAAUCGGAAUUACUGGGCGUAAAGGGAGCGUAGGUGGCUCGAUAAGUCAGAUGUGAAAUCCCCGGGCUCAACCUGGGAACUGCAUCUGAUACUGUUGAGCUAGAGUAUGUGAGAGGAAGGUAGAAUUCCAGGUGUAGCGGUGAAAUGCGUAGAGAUCUGGAGGAAUACCGAUGGCGAAGGCAGCCUUCUGGCAUAAUACUGACACUGAGGCUCGAAAGCGUGGGUAGCAAACAGGAUUAGAUACCCUGGUAGUCCACGCCGUAAACGAUGUCUACUAGUCGUUGGGUCCCUUGAGGACUUAGUGACGCAGCUAACGCAAUAAGUAGACCGCCUGGGGAGUACGGCCGCAAGGUUAAAACUCAAAUGAAUUGACGGGGGCCCGCACAAGCGGUGGAGCAUGUGGUUUAAUUCGAUGCAACGCGAAGAACCUUACCUGGUCUUGACAUAUCUAGAAUCCUGCAGAGAUGCGGGAGUGCCUUCGGGAAUUAGAAUACAGGUGCUGCAUGGCUGUCGUCAGCUCGUGUCGUGAGAUGUUGGGUUAAGUCCCGCAACGAGCGCAACCCUUGUCCUUAGUUACCAGCGGGUUAAGCCGGGAACUCUAAGGAUACUGCCAGUGACAAACUGGAGGAAGGCGGGGACGACGUCAAGUCAUCAUGGCCCUUACGACCAGGGCUACACACGUGCUACAAUGGUAGGUACAGAGGGCAGCUACACAGCGAUGUGAUGCGAAUCUCAAAAAGCCUAUCGUAGUCCAGAUUGGAGUCUGCAACUCGACUCCAUGAAGUAGGAAUCGCUAGUAAUCGCGGAUCAGAAUUGCACCAGAAGUGG